rnacentral:lncRNA from 1 species
GCCAGGGACAGCUCUGCAGUUGCAGAAUCCUUUUUAUUUUAAUUCUUUUUUUUUUUUUUUCCCCCAGCUAUACAGAGAACUUCUGGCACUGGAACAGUCAGAAGAGAAGAAAACAUGCUGAUAUGAUUUAACUUCAGUCAUAACUCAUGCACCCAAAAUGUAACAAAACGAACAACGCCAAGAACAAACUAGCAGCUAUUGAUAAAAUUUGAAGGGAGUCUGAUGCAGUUCCAGAGGCAGGAAGCCAUGGGAUCAAAGGGAAUUAGGAUCUUCCCUGUAGUGACUGAAGUCACCAGGCUCAUGAAGAGAGACUAAAAGAAGAUGUAUGGGGACUCUCCUGUCUUUGUGGAGAAGAGCAAUGUGCUCUACAAAGCUGGGUGAACAGCCUACCCCAUCAGCACAGGAAAACCUGGGCUGGGAAGAGAAAUCCAAGCAGAAAAUUGCUUCAGCCAUGGCUGGCCUCAGAAGGUUAAUCACAGAGGCACAGGAGAAAUAUGGGCAAGAUCAAGUGGAAAUCUGAGGAGGUGGAUGCUGAACACACAGAUAAAAUCUCUGUACUACAUGUAAUCCUGUCUUUUCUCUGAUUUGCCUAGGAAUCAUCUUGCAGUGCCCCUCUGGUGGCGGCUAUGCCACAUGGAAGUGCUCAUGUUCAGCUGGUUCGUGUAAUUCAUCCUUCACUGUCUGUGUUAUUUCGCUUGUAGUUUUGUGUAAGACCAAUUUAAAAAUAAACAUAAGCCUUGCAGAC